rnacentral:rRNA from 1 species
UACGGGGGGGGCAAGCGUUGUUCGGAAUUACUGGGCGUAAAGGGCUCGUAGGCGGCCAACUAAGUCAGACGUGAAAUCCCUCGGCUUAACCGGGGAACUGCGUCUGAUACUGGAUGGCUUGAGUUUGGGAGAGGGAUGCGGAAUUCCUGGUGUAGCGGUGAAAUGCGCAGAUAUCAGGAGGAACACCGGUGGCGAAGGCGGUUCUCUGGGCCUUACCUGACGCUGAGGAGCGAAAGCGUGGGGAGCAAACAGG